UACGUAGGGUGCAAGCGUUGUCCGGAAUUAUUGGGCGUAAAGAGCUCGUAGGCGGUCUGUCGCGUCGUAUGUGAAAACCCGGGGCUCAACCCCGGGCCUGCAUUCGAUACGGGCAGACUAGAGUUCGGUAGGGGAGACUGGAAUUCCUGGUGUAGCGGUGAAAUGCGCAGAUAUCAGGAGGAACACCGGUGGCGAAGGCGGGUCUCUGGGCCGAUACUGACGCUGAGGAGCGAAAGCGUGGGGAGCGAACAGG
rnacentral:rRNA from 1 species